GCGGGGAGGGAGGAGAUGCUGGUUGGGUACGUGAGGGAGCUGGAGAAGAGGGUGCAGGAGCUGAGCACGGAGGUGGAGGAGGAGAUGGCCAGGAACGCGCAUCUGCAGGAGCUUCUCCACGAGAGGGCUUGUGAGAAUCACACGGAUUCAUCUCACACAUCAGGGAGUCGUUGAGAGAUCGCCGUGCGUCUCCUUGCAGUGUGUGAUUGGUUGGACACAGGAUUGAUCAACGUAUAUGCAUGCAUGCUUGCUCGUGAAAAUUCUUAGGCUGCUAAUAUAGUUUGUACAAUUUGUACACUUGCACGGAGUGAUCGAAAUGCUGGUGGUGUACUUUCUCAAGAAGUAUGCGUUAAAUGUACAGUAAUUUACACAGUUGUACCUGGGCUACAAGUUUUACUUUUUACGGGUGAAGAAAGUAGGAAAAUUGUUGUUUCGCUGCACAUUUUUUGGUUAAAAAAGGUUCCAUCUCCACAUU
rnacentral:sRNA from 1 species